rnacentral:tRNA from 1 species
CAGAUAAUAGUUUAAAAAAAACAUUGACAUUGGAAGUCAAAAAUUAAAUAAGUUUAUUGUCUGA